rnacentral:lncRNA from 1 species
UUUUUUCGUCUCAACACCUAUAGCUGACUGCCAUAACAAUCAUACCACUAUGUCUACACCUAGCUUCCGCCACAACCAUGAUACGCAGCCACCUGACGCCACCACCACUUCUACUUUGUUGUUAAAUCCACAGGAUAAAUCAUAUAUGAGGUCUCUAUUUCUCUCUUUAUGGUUUUUCAAUCUCAAACAAAAAGAUACAUAAUAUAAAACGCACCGCCAUCUAUCUACUUACCACCACCAUCGCAGAAAAGCCAUCACACCAGUCGCCGCCAACUACCACCACCUUCGUCAUCUCCAUCAGCCACCACGGGUACCCUUAAAACCAUCUUUGGCGUAUUUCUUUUAGAUUUACAGCUUUGGAUAUUGUUUUUUAAUUUUUUUCUUUUGAUUUAUAGGCGCGAUUUAGUGGUCGCAACCUACCAACACCUUCGUCACCAUCAACCACCCGGGGUAUCCUCGAAACCAUAUUUUUUGUAUAUAUUUUCGAUUUAAAGGUUUAUAUUUUGUUGUUAAUUUUUCUUUUUGGAUUACAGGUUCAUCUUUCCGAUGAAUAUGCUCCAAGCGUCAUCUUUUUUAGUAUCGUUUGUAGAACCGUUCCAUCUAAUUUAGUUUUUCCAUAAUUCUUGAUUUUGUUAACCUGGUUUUUGAUUCUGAUGAAUGGUUGAUGUUGGUUUAAGAUUUUCUUACGUGG